UGUAAAUUUGCAACGUAUCGAUGUCAAUGUUCACAAGAACCAAAAUCGGAAAAACAUUAGACUGCUCAAUUGCUCCCUAACUGUAUAACUAUGCAAUGAGUACUUUUUCUCAUUAAAUCAAACAAAGAUUAAAACCUAAUUAUAUUAUUCUAUUAUACCCCGAGUGUAUAAAUUUGCAACGUAUCGAUGUCAACGUUCAUAAAAACCAAAACCGGACAAACAUUAGACUACUCAGUUGCUCCCUAACAGUGUAACUUUGCAAUGAGUACUUUUUCGCAAUCAAUCAAACAAAGAGUAAAACCUAAUUAUAUUAUUCUAUUAUUCCCCGAGUGUGUAAAUUUGCAACGUAUCGAUGUCAACGUUCACAAAAACCAAAACCGGACAAACAUUAGACUACUCAGUUGCGCCCUAACAGUAUAACUUUACAACGAGUACUUUUUCUCCUUCAACCGAACAAAGAGUAAAACCUAAUUAUAUUGUUCCAUUAUGCCCCGAGAGUGUAAAUUUGCAACGUAUCGAUGUCAACGUUCACAAAAACCAAAACCGGACAAAUAUUAGACUACUCAGUUGUGCCCUAACAGUAUAACUUUACAUCGAGUACUUUUUCUCCUUCAACCGAACAAAGAGUAAAACCUAAUUAUAUUGUUCCAUUAUGCCCCGAGAUUGUAAAUUUGCAACGUAUCGACGUCAAUAUUCACAAGAACCAAAAUCGGAAAAAUAUUAGACUACUCAGUUGCUCCCUAACAGUGUAACUUUGCAAGAGUACUUUUUCUCAUUCAAUCAAAUAAAGAGUAAAACCAAAUUAUAUUAUUCUAUUAUGCCCCGAGUGUAUAAAUUUGCAACGUAUCGAUGUCAACGUUCACAAGAACCAAAACCGGAACAACAUUAGACUACUCAGUUACGCCCUAGCAGUAUAACUUUGCAAACAGUGCUUUUUCUCAUUCAAUCGAACAAAGAGAAAAACCCAAUUAUAUUGUUCUAUUAUUCCCCGAGAGUGUAAAUUUGCAACGUAUCAAUGUCAACGUUUACAAGAACCAAAUUCGAGAAAACAUUAGACAACUCAGUUGCUUCCUAACAGUAUAACUUUACAUUGAGUACCAUUUCUAAUUACAUCGUUCUAUUAUGCCGCGAGAGUGUAAAUUUGCAACGUAUCAAUUUCAACGUUCACAAAAACCAAAACCGGACCAACAUUAGACUACUAAGUUGCGCCCUAACAAUAUAACUUUGCAACGAGUACUUUUUCUCCUUCAACUGAACAAAGUGUAAAAUCUAAUUAUAUUGUUCUAUUAUGCCCCGAGAGGGUAAAUUUGCAACGUAUCGAUGUUAUCGUUCAGAAAAAUCAAAAUUGGACCAACAUUAGACUACUAAGUUGCGUCCUAACAGUAUAACUUUGCAACGAGUACUUUUUCUCCUUCUACCGAAGAAAGAGUAAAACCUAAUUAUGUUGUUCCACUAUGCCCCGAGAGUGUAAAUUUGCCACGUAUCGAUGUCAAUGUUCACAAGAACCAAAACCGGAAAAACAUUAGACUACUCAAUUGCUCCAUAACUGUAUAACUUUGCAAUGAGUACUUUUUCUCAUUCAAUCAAACAAAGAUUAAAAUCUAAUUAUAUUAUUCUAUUAUGCCCCGAGUGUGUAAAUUUGCAACGUAUCGAUGUCAACGUUCAUAAAAACCAAAACCGGACAAACAUUAGACUACUCAGUUGCUCCCUAACAGUAUAACUUUGCAAUGAGUACUUUUUCUCAUUCAAUCAAACAAAGAGUAAAACCUAAUUAUAUUAUUCUAUUAUUCCCCGAGUGUGUAAAUUUGCAACGUAUCGAUGUCAACGUUCACAAAAACCAAAACCGGACAAACAUUAGACUACUCAGUUGCGCCCUAACAGUAUAACUUUACAACGAGUACUUUUUCUCCUUCAACCGAACAAAGAGUAAAACCUAAUUAUAUUGUUCCAUUAUGCCCCGAGAGUGUAAAUUUGCAACGUAUCGAUGUCAAUGUUCACAAGAACCAAAAUCGGAAAAAUAUUAGACUACUCAGU
rnacentral:lncRNA from 1 species